AUGAACGCUGGCGGCGUGCUUAACACAUGCAAGUCGAACGGAGUUUACUUAACAGAUUCCUUCGGGAUGACGUUUUUUAAACUUAGUGGCGGACGGGUGAGUAACGCGUGGGUAACCUGCCUUACACAGGGGGAUAGCAGUUGGAAACGACUGGUAAUACCGCAUACCUUACAUUAUUCGCAUGUUUGAUGUAAGAAAGAUUUAUCGGUGUAAGAUGGACCCGCGUCUGAUUAGCUAGUUGGUGUGGUAACGGCAUACCAAGGCGACGAUCAGUAGCCGGCCUGAGAGGGUGAACGGCCACAUUGGGACUGAGAUACGGCCCAGACUCCUACGGGAGGCAGCAGUGGGGAAUAUUGCACAAUGGAGGCAACUCUGAUGCAGCGACGCCGCGUGAGUGAAGAAGUAUUUCGGUAUGUAAAGCUCUAUCAGUAGGGAAGAUAAUGACGGUACCUACAGAAGAAGCCCCGGCUAAAUACGUGCCAGCAGCCGCGGUAAUACGUAUGGGGCAAGCGUUAUCCGGAUUUACUGGGUGUAAAGGGAGUGUAGGCGGCAGUACAAGUCAGGAGUGAAAACUUGGGGCUCAACCCCAAGACUGCUUUUGAAACUGUACAGCUAGAGUGUAGGAAGGGCAAGCGGAAUUCCUGGUGUAGCGGUGAAAUGCGUAGAUAUCAGGAAGAACACCGGUGGCGAAGGCGGCUUGCUGGACUAUAACUGACGCUGAGACUCGAAAGCGUGGGGAGCGAACAGGAUUAGAUACCCUGGUAGUCCACGCUGUAAACGAUGAAUACUAGGUGUUGGGUCUCGAUAGAGAUUCGGUGCCGAAGCAAACGCAUUAAGUAUUCCACCUGGGGAGUACGUUCGCAAGAAUGAAACUCAAAGGAAUUGACGGGGACCCGCACAAGCGGUGGAGCAUGUGGUUUAAUUCGAAGCAACGCGAAGAACCUUGCCAGGUCUUGACAUCCUGCUGACCGGUCAGUAAUGUGACCUUUUCUUCGGAACAGCAGUGACAGGUGGUGCAUGGUUGUCGUCAGCUCGUGUCGUGAGAUGUUGGGUUAAGUCCCGCAACGAGCGCAACCCUUAUGGUCAGUUACUACGCAAGAGGACUCUGGCCAGACUGCCGUUGACAAAACGGAGGAAGGUGGGGAUGACGUCAAAUCAUCAUGCCCCUUAUGGCCUGGGCUACACACGUGCUACAAUGGCACUAAACAAAGUGAGGCGAGACAGUGAUGUUAAGCAAAGCACAAAAACAGUGUCCCAGUUCGGAUUGUAGUCUGCAACUCGACUACAUGAAGCCGGAAUCGCUAGUAAUCGCAGAUCAGCAUGCUGCGGUGAAUACGUUCCCGGGUCUUGUACACACCGCCCGUCACACCAUGGGAGUCGGAAACGCCCGAAGCCGGUGGCCUAACCGUAAGGAAGGAGCCGUCGAAGGCGGGUUCGGUGACUGGGGUG
rnacentral:rRNA from 1 species